CUCUCUCACCAAAAAUACAUCACUAAAUCAACAAACCCUACAGACUAGAAUCAAAAUCACCCAAACCCUACUAAACUCAAACUAUAUUUUCGGCGACGAAGGAAUCGUCUGGGCAUCAAAAUCGACUUUAAACCCAUACUUGACAAGCACGAUUUGUAGAGCGUCUUCUUCAACCAUGGUGGACACAAGAUCUUCUGGAACCGCGACACAUGAUGGAAAAGCGAAUUUGGAGGCAAAAGUGGGCAAAGAUAAUUGAUGGUAACGUUAUGUCAUACUAAUACGAUUCUGAAAUCGACGAGGAGGGUGAUCCUACUUCAACAAUGGUCGACACUCGAGCUUCUGGAUCGGCGAGGCCUGACGGAAAAGUGUAUCAGAGAACGACGUGAAGAAGAAGAUACCGCCGAUCCCAAAAGCACCGAAAGGAUGUUUAGAUUACCACUAUUUUAAUGAAACGAUGUUUAGAGCUUGUAAUUCUCUUUUAUAAAUCAUGUUUAUA